rnacentral:rRNA from 1 species
GAUGAACGCUGGCGGCGUGCCUAAUACAUGCAAGUCGAGCGAACAGACGAGGAGCUUGCUCCUCUGACGUUAGCGGCGGACGGGUGAGUAACACGUGGAUAACCUACCUAUAAGACUGGGAUAACUUCGGGAAACCGGAGCUAAUACCGGAUAAUAUAUUGAACCGCAUGGUUCAAUAGUGAAAGACGGUUUUGCUGUCACUUAUAGAUGGAUCCGCGCCGCAUUAGCUAGUUGGUAAGGUAACGGCUUACCAAGGCAACGAUGCGUAGCUGAACUGAGAGGGUGAUCGGCCACACUGGAACUGAGACACGGUCCAGACUCCUACGGGAGGCAGCAGUAGGGAAUCUUCCGCAAUGGGCGAAAGCCUGACGGAGCAACGCCGCGUGAGUGAUGAAGGUCUUCGGAUCGUAAAACUCUUUUAUUAGGAAAGAACAAAAGUGUAAGUAACUAUGCACGUCUUGACGGUACCUAAUCAGAAAGCCACGGCUAGCUACGUG